rnacentral:rRNA from 1 species
ACGGAAGGCAGCAGUGGGGAAUAUUGCACAAUGGGGGAAACCCUGAUGCAGCGACGCCGCGUGAGUGAGGAAGUUAUUCGUAAUGUAAAGCUCUAUCAGCAGGGAAGAAAAUGACGGUACCUGACUAAGAAGCCCCGGCUAACUACGUGCCAGCAGCCGCGGUAAUACGUAGGGGGCAAGCGUUAUCCGGAUUUACUGGGUGUAAAGGGAGCGUAGACGGUCUAGCAAGUCUGAUGUGAAAGGCAGGGGCUCAACUCCUGGACUGCAUUGGAAACUGUUAGUCUUGAGUGUCGGAGAGGUAAGCGGAAUUCCUAGUGUAGCGGUGAAAUGCGUAGAUAUUAGGAGGAACACCAGUGGCGAAGGCGGCUUACUGGACGAUAACUGACGUUGAGGCUCGAAAGCGUGGGGAGCAAACAGGAUUAGAUACCCUGGUA